AUGACAACCCCCCCUGUCGCAACCCCGGUGGUUGACAUGGAGGACGUGGAGGAGGACGUGGUGAGUGUGGGGAUGAAGGUGCGCCCCUUGUCAUCGCUGCGCUCACCUCGUAUGGUCUGCUACUCGCGCUCGCCAGGGUCCCCCCCUUCUCCAGCCUUGGGGCCCCCGGACUUGGAGCCGCCUUCGUCCUUGGAUCUGGCCUUGGUGACCCUACUGCGGUGGGUUCCAAGCUUCGGGGCGGGGCUUCUCCGCUGGUGGCGGCCCGUCAGAGUGCGCGGCUUAGCCAGUCCCAGGUCCUUCUAA
rnacentral:rRNA from 1 species